AGUAACUGUAGGGGUGAAGUCCAGACAGAAUUCCAGGGACUUAGGGCGUUGCCCUACAUGACUGACAGCCACAGAAUUAUGGAGCUAUGGCCUCUUGUCAGGAGCCUAGAGUCUGGGAGCAUGGCAAACGGGCCUUCCGUCCCUUGCAGGAACACCUGCUAGGUCUCUGGGGUUUAAACCUAGCUUGGCCAGAAAACAGGCUGCCUUUCAUGGUCCCACAGGUGGUGGUCAAAAAGCUAUCAUAAUUUUUGUACCAUUUCCUCAGCUGAAAUCUUUCCAGAAAAUCCAAGUCUGGCUAGUUUCAGUGUGAAACAUGUAGUCUUCAUCGAUCAGAGGAGGAUUCUGUCCAAGUCAAGCAGGAAAAGCCCUAUGAAAAAUAAACAAAAGCACCCCAGAACCCGCUCCUGACAGCAGUGCACGAAGCCAUCCUUGAGGACUUGGUCUUCCCAAGGGAAAUUGUGGGUAAGAGGAUCCCGGUGAACCUGGAUGGCAGUCGGCUCAUAAAGGUUCCUUUAAACAAAGCACAGCAGAGAAGCGCGGAGCACAAGGUCGGAACUUUUCCUGGUUCCUUUGGGAGUAUCAGCCGGUGGCUUUGAGUGGUUAAAAGCAGAUGGGGACAGUGGAUACCAACCCUGCCAUAACCUUGCUACAAGGUCACUGAGUGAGCAAUCUGUAUCAUAUUCCAACUGUGGACGAAUACUUUAUUCUCAAGCAGGAACACUCCCUGGCCUGUCUGCAGGCAGGGAGAGACCCUACUCAGCCUCUGGCACGUAGGGCAGCAUUGACAGAGAAAGGCAGGACUCGGGAGAGUGUCAGAAAAGGCACAUGGCUUUAUGACAAGAACACCACGGCCUGCCCGACUGCCAAUAGCCAGCUUGCAUUCUCUAAAAUCUGGCCACAGCACUCCUAGUCCUGCAACUUCCUGCAACAGCUACAGCACUCGCAAAUGGGCUCACAGCUGGCUUCAAAUGCCUCAGUCAUCAUACUGACAGCCCUAAUGCUCUUACCUAUGCAGUAAUGUCCAAAAGGACAAGGACAUAUGUGCUGGAGGAUAGGAGCUACAAUCUGGCUUACGCUGCCUUCCAAGUGGAGUCUCAGCCUUCCACUCCCUCAGCUGUGGUACUCUGGACCCUACCUGACCGCUGCCACCACCUCAUCCUACUUAACUAUUGUUGGUCACCCUCACCAGGUUCUGUGGGCUUGGCUCAGGUCCCCUGUACUGGUUUGUAAUGGGACAUGAUGGCAAGGGUAAGUCUCUUACCAACUCAGUCAGCUGCCCCUACAUCUCAGGUCAGAGGUUACAAUAUUCUAGGGGUCACCUACCCCCACAGGCUGGGGAAUGUAUCUAUGGAAAAAAGAUGUACUUGGCUUGACUUAACUUGCCUCCCAGCUCAGCCUGAUAUUUUGGGCCAACAACUGGCAAGAGAGGAACUCAGAAGCGGAUGAUGGACUCUGUGAGUCAACUGAGUCACAAAAAAAGGACCUCUGAACUUCCGAUGGAGAGCCUGAGGGUGUCUGCCUUCACCAUGUGCUAUGAUUUGUAUAUGCUUGGCCCAGGGAGUGGCACUAUUAGAAGGUGUGACUCUGUUGGAACAGGUGUGGCCCUGUUGGAGUAGGUGUGUCACUGUGGGCGUAGGCUAUAAGACCCUCAUCCUAGCUGCCUGGAAGCCAGUAUUCUGCUAGCAGCCUUCAGAUGAAGAUGUAGAACUCUCGGCUCCUCCUUCACCAGGCCUGCCUGAAUGCUGCAAUGUUCCUUCCUUGAUGACAGUGGACUGAACCUCUGAAUGUAUAAGCCAGUCCCAAUUAAAUGUUGACCUUAUCAGAGUAGCCUUGGUCAUGGUGUCUGUUCACAGCUGUAGAACCUUACUAACUAAGACACCACACUAUUCCUGGUAAGGAGUGGCUGUCCAGAGGUACUCUCAAUUUUGUCCCAUGGGAUGAACAGAUUCUGAAGGUAGGUAUUGGAGAGAAGACCCACUCAGACAAGAAAUGGCAAGUGUAGAGACAGGCCACUGAUAGAGAGUGACAACUAGAGAUGGAGACUCGGAAUGCUAAAGCUGUCAAAGAGGGAAAACAGAGAUCAGAAGAGUCCCUGACAACCAGAAGAGUCCCUGACAACCAGUAACAGCCAGUUGAUCCUGGAGGCAGCCCAGAAGCUGAAAGCCAACAGUUAGAGAAGCACAGUGCACAGCGGAAGAAAGAAUAGAACUCUAGUCUUAGAGAAAACAAACAGAUCCCACAGGGUAGAGGUGGGGAGCAGAGGUGAGAGUCCCACCCAGAGCAUCCCUUCUUAAAGGGGCAAGUUCCUGUUUUCCAGAUCAGCCCAAAUUCGCCUGACCUUCCUCCACUGGUUAGGGAGAAGGUAGCUUAAAAAGAAAAUUUUAAAACAUCACUGAAGUGUCUGAAUCUAUUUUGUGUUGUUGCUAUAAAAUAUCUGAUGCCAGACACUUUAUAAAGAAGAGAUUCACUCAGCUUACAGUUUUGGAGGAUGAGUGAGGUGACUUCAUCCGUUUGGUGUCUGUUUCCCUCUGUGUCAAGACAUGGCCGAUGGUACUGUGGAUGGAGUGGAUACCCGUGGAAGAGAAGGAUCACGUGGUGAUGCAGGAAGCAAGAGACCAGGGGAAAAAGCAGGGAUGCCAUCUUUAUAACACUCUGCCACACCCAGACCUGACCUACUCCUAGGACACCAGAACUAAUCCAUUCAUGAAACUGAGGCCUCUGUGACCCAAUGACCUCCCACGGGCCCAGCUUUUAAGGCUCCCACCCCAUCCACACUGCUGCCAUGGGAACCAAGCCUCUUACAAGAACCUUUGGAGACAACCCCUAUCCACAGUAACCUGGUCAAGCCAGAGGGAGAGAAAGGGAAACACCUUACACCGGAGGCUCCUUAACCAGCACUUUCGCCUGCUCUGUUGACAAGAGAUCCUGCAUUCCACUUAGCAUCGAAUCCAGCAAAAUCCGCCUUGCAUUCUGCAGCUGCACUAAUGUCUCCAGUCAAAAAUUACUUCUAAUCUUUCUAUGCUUAUUAACCAGGCCUAGGGAUUUCAGAUUAGGACUCUUCAUAUGCUAAUUAGCCACCCCAGGGUGUGGAACAGAAUUAAUUUGUCCAUUUCAAGACUGAGAGCCACCAACCCAACCUAACAGAAGAAAAGCCAAGGGCCCGGGAAGAGCCCCGGGAGUGGACAUGCUACUUCAGCCGAAGUGGUUGGGGAAAAGACCACCGAAUUCAGGUCCAGUCAAGUCUCUGGUUCAGGGAUGGAUCUUCCAUGAAAAAUAUUAUCAUUUGUCACCUAUCAUUGGGAAUACAGUCUGAAAAUGAA
rnacentral:lncRNA from 1 species